rnacentral:rRNA from 1 species
AGAGUUUGAUCCUGGCUCAGGAUGAACGCUGGCGGCGUGCCUAACACAUGCAAGUCGAGCGAAGCACAUGAAUACGAUUCUUCGGAUGAGGAUUCUUGUGACUGAGCGGCGGACGGGUGAGUAACGCGUGGGUAACCUGCCUUACACAGGGGGAUAACAGUUAGAAAUGACUGCUAAUACCGCAUAAGACCACAAAACCGCAUGGUUUGGUGGUAAAAACUCCGGUGGUGUAAGAUGGGCCCGCGUCUGAUUAGGUAGUUGGUGGGGUAACGGCCUACCAAGCCGACGAUCAGUAGCCGACCUGAGAGGGUGACCGGCCACAUUGGGACUGAGACACGGCCCAGACUCCUACGGGAGGCAGCAGUGGGGAAUAUUGCACAAUGGGGGAAACCCUGAUGCAGCGACGCCGCGUGAGCGAUGAAGUAUUUCGGUAUGUAAAGCUCUAUCUGCAGGGAAGAAAAUGACGGUACCUGACUAAGAAGCCCCGGCUAACUACGUGCCAGCAGCCGCGGUAAUACGUAGGGGGCAAGCGUUAUCCGGAUUUACUGGGUGUAAAGGGAGC